GUUCAAAAUUUAACACUCAGUUUAGUAAGAGUUAAAUAUUUCUCAAACUCAUAAUCAUUUGGGGAACAUACACCAAGUAGCUUUCUGAACUUCUGGAAUGCAGGAAAUUUAAGUGGCUUGGUUAAGAACAUCAGUAAUAUGCUAUUCACUCUUGCAAUAAACGACAUCUAUAGGAUUCUUCACAAAAAUGAUACUUCACAUCUAUAUAUUUGCUCUGACUGUAUAAAACAGGA
rnacentral:lncRNA from 1 species